UCCGCCCACACUUCAACUUUCUGCCCGACCCUUGUGUCAAGCGCACCAGCAGCAAGUUAUGCUGGUUGAGGAUGAUGCAAGAGAGACGCAGGAAUGGAUGGCAAAGAAGAAAGGCCGGGGGUGGGGUGGGGAAGUCGCUGAUAGCGCCGCGCCGCCUAUCAUCUAAUGCGGCCUGUGCAUGUUUCCGCAGUAUUUUACUUGGGGCUUACUCUCAAGUGGAAGGCCUCAUUUGGCAUUGCACAAAAAUCAGGAGAAAUGAACAGAAUCUUGAAAGGGCAAACCUAACUCGUUCAUGAAAAAGCUGCAUCUAACUGAAAAAUCACAUCCACUGAAAUUAUGAAAUGUUCGAGUAUAUGAAGAUUCCUCUUUGAAGGUAUGGUGUAGUUCAUUAGGACAUCUUACGAAAGAAAUUUCAACCAAGAGAAGAAUCAGACAAGGCUGUAUUCUGGCCAUGAUACAAUUUAAUUUUUAUAUUUAUUCUUUUGUUUCCCACCUGAAGGAUAUGAGAUAUCUUCUACCAAAGCUGGCUGUUAGGCAUUUACCGAUUCUGCUUUAUGCAGAUGAUGCUGUUCUGCUUUCCCAGAGAUUGAUUAGUUUGAGGAAAGUCUUGCAGACUCUUUCUUUGUAUUGUGAUCAGCGGGCAUUAGAAAUAAAUUAUGAUAAAACUAAAAUAAUGGCAUUUGGGAAAAGACCUAAAAUAAGAAAAUGGCUGUUGAAUAAUCAUAGGCUGGAGCUGGUUACACCAAUAUCUUGGUGUAAAUUGUGCAAGCAUCAGUCAGUAGAACAGCACAUUUAAAUUAUGUUCUUCAAAACACCCAGAGAUCCACAAGGGCUAUUCUAACAUUCUAUCGAUCCAAGGGUGCUCAAUUUGUCCCUGCUGCAGUUAAAUUCUAUUUAGCCAAGUCUCGUACACAGCUUCUAUAUGGGGGGCAUGUUGGUUUGUAUACAAAUCCUGCCAAAAUUGAAGCUCAACAGUCAAAGUUCUUCAAGAGCUUAUUGCAGACACCAAAGUGCUUCACACAAGCAGUGUGAAGUGCCAAAAUGGUGUUUGCGGGCUUGACCUGCUCUCCCCGCAGAAGCAGGGAGCUUCUUCUCCCGAGCAGAGAACCUUCCUUGGGCAGCCGGAUUAGCCGCUAGGAAUGUGCAUGAACCUGUUCGGAGGCCCUUUUAUGGGCCUCUGAACAGGUUCAAACACUGGGGAAUUUGAAGUUCGAAGGUGGAGUAUG